AGUAGUCAUAUGCUUGUCUCAAAGAUUAAGCCAUGCAAGUGUAAGUAUAAAAACUUUGUACUUUGAAACUGCGAACGGCUCAUUAAAUCAGCUAUAAUCUACUCGAUAAUCCAAAGAUUAUAUGGAUAACCAUAGUAAAUCCAAGGCUAAUACAUGCGCAAAAAGGAGACUUUUGUGGGAUCCUUGCAUUUGUUAGAACUAAAAAUCAAUACGACCCUCGGGUCGUUUCUAUUGGUGAUUCAUAACAACUUGGCGGACCGGACCCAGCAAUGGGACGGUGCAUCGAAUGAGUUUCUGCCCUAUCAACUUUCGAAGGAAGUAUAGAGGACUACCUUGGUCUUGACGGGUAACGGAGAAUUAGGGUUCGGUUCCGGAGAGGGAGCCUGAGAAACGGCUACCACUUCUAAGGAAGGCAGCAGGCGCGCAAAUUACCCAAUGGGGAUACCCUGAGGUAGUGACAAGAAAUAACAAUGCGGGGCACGAAUUGUGUCUUGCAAUUGGAAUGAGAACAACGUAAACGACUUAACGAGCACCAAUUGGAGGGCAAGUCUGGUGCCAGCAGCCGCGGUAACACCAGCUCCAAUAGCGUAUAUUAAUGCUGUUGCAGUUAAAAAGCUCGUAGUUGAAUUUUGGAGUCGCUGCCGUUUGGUCCGCCUCGAAGGCGAGUACCGACGGUCGCUCUCUAUACCUGGUGUGAAUGUAUAUGUGGCAUUAACUUGUCACAUAUCCUGGGAAGUUCGCGACUCAGGGGUCAGGGGACUCGACGACGGAAAUGGGAGACCAUUUGCGCCUGCGGGUUCUCUGGCAACAUUUCACCUAUUUCACUUUGAAAAAAUUGGAGUGUUCAAAGCAGGACUUAGGUCCACUGUACAUUUUAGCAUGGGAUGAUAGAAAAAGACAGCCGUUUUAUUUUGUUGGUUUUUUAGAACGAUUGUAAUGAUUAAAGGGGACAGUUGGGGUUGUUUGUAUUGGAGCGUCAGCGGUGAAAUGCUAAGAUUGCUCUAAGACAAACUUCUGCGAAAGCAUUCAACUAGGAUGUUUUCGUCAAUCAAGAACGAAAGUUGGGGGAUCGAAGACGAUCAGAUACCGUCGUAGUCUCAACCAUAAACUAUGCCGCCUUAGGAUUGGGAAACGAUAAUUUCUAUGUCUCUCCCAGCACUAUUCGAGAAAUCAAAGGCUUUGGGUUCCGGGGGGAGUAUGGUCGCAAGGCUGAAACUUAAAGGAAUUGACGGAAGGGCACCACCAGGCGUGGAGCUUGCGGCUUAAUUUGACUCAACAC
rnacentral:rRNA from 1 species